AUUGAACGCUGGCGGCAGGCCUAACACAUGCAAGUCGAACGGUAACAGGAAGCAGCUUGCUGCUUCGCUGACGAGUGGCGGACGGGUGAGUAAUGUCUGGGAAGCUGCCUGAUGGAGGGGGAUAACUACUGGAAACGGUAGCUAAUACCGCAUAAUGUCGCAAGACCAAAGAGGGGGACCUUCGGGCCUCUUGCCAUCGGAUGUGCCCAGAUGGGAUUAGCUUAUUGGUGGGGUAACGGCUCACCAAGGCGACGAUCCCUAGCUGGUCUGAGAGGAUGACCAGCCACACUGGGACUGAGACACGGUCCAGACUCCUACGGGAGGCAGCAGUGGGGAAUAUUGCACAAUGGGCGCAAGCCUGAUGCAGCCAUGCCGCGUGUAUGAAGAAGGCCUUCGGGUUGUAAAGUACUUUCAGCGGGGAGGAAGGGAGUAAAGUUAAUACCUUUGCUCAUUGACGUUACCCGCAGAAGAAGCACCGGCUAACUCCGUG
rnacentral:rRNA from 1 species